CGGAACGAAAGGCAUCUCUCCUUUGCCCAUUUUGGCACUAGCACAUUUUUGCUUUUGUAUAUGGCCUUUGAGCAAUUAUGUGUAGUGCCAAUAUAGGAAAAGGAUGCACAGCAACCAUCAUUGU
rnacentral:pre_miRNA from 17 species